rnacentral:rRNA from 1 species
GAUGAACGCUGGCGGCGUGCCUAAUACAUGCAAGUCGAGCGAACGGACGAGAAGCUUGCUUCUCUGAUGUUAGCGGCGGACGGGUGAGUAACACGUGGAUAACCUACCUAUAAGACUGGGAUAACUUCGGGAAACCGGAGCUAAUACCGGAUGAUAUUUUGAACCGCAUGGUUCAAAAGUGAAAGACGGUCUUGCUGUCACUUAUAGAUGGAUCCGCGCUGCAUUAGCUAGUUGGUAAGGUAACGGCUUACCAAGGCAACGAUGCAUAGCCGACCUGAGAGGGUGAACGGCCACACGGGAAGUGAGACACGGUCCAGACUCCUACGGGAGGAAGCAGUAGGGAAUCUUCCGCAAUGGGCGAAAGCCUGACGGAGCAACGCCGCGUGAGUGAUGAAGGUCUUCGGAUCGUAAAACUCUGUUAUUAGGGAAGAACAUAUGUGUAAGUAACUGUGCACAUCUUGACGGUACCUAAUCAGAAAGCCACGGCUAACUACGUG